GCCGAGAUAGCCAAGCCCGGUCAACGGCGAUGGACUCAAGAUCAAUCACAAGUCGCCAGACUCUGAGGAGAAAUCCAUUCUCGUAGGAGUUCAUGGGUUCGAAUCCCAUUCUCGGCA
rnacentral:tRNA from 1 species